rnacentral:rRNA from 1 species
AUUUUUAACACAUGACCCGUCGAGCGGAAACGAGUUAUCUGAACCUUCGGGGAACGAUAACGGCGUCGAGCGGCGGACGGGUGAGUAAUGCCUAGGAAAUUGCCCUGAUGUGGGGGAUAACCAUUGGAAACGAUGGCUAAUACCGCAUGAUGCCUACGGGCCAAAGAGGGGGACCUUCGGGCCUCUCGCGUCAGGAUAUGCCUAGGUGGGAUUAGCUAGUUGGUGAGGUAAUGGCUCACCAAGGCGACGAUCCCUAGCUGGUCUGAGAGGAUGAUCAGCCACACUGGAACUGAGACACGGUCCAGACUCCUACGGGAGGCAGCAGUGGGGAAUAUUGCACAAUGGGCGCAAGCCUGAUGCAGCCAUGCCGCGUGUGUGAAGAAGGCCUUCGGGUUGUAAAGCACUUUCAGUCGUGAGGAAGGUGGUGGCGUUAAUAGCACUAUUAUUUGACGUUAGCGACAGAAGAAGCACCGGCUAACUCCGUGCCAGCAGCCGCGNUAAUACGGAGGGUGCGAGCGUUAAUCGGAAUUACUGGGCGUAAAGCGCAUGCAGGUGGUUUGUUAAAGUCAGAUGUGAAAACCCGGGGCUCAACCUCGG